UACGUAGGGUCUUAGCGUUAUCCGGAAUUACUGGGUAUAAAGGGUGCGCAGGCGGGUCUGUGCGUCAAGGGUUAAAGACCCCGGCUUAACCGGGGAAGUGCCCUUGAAACGGCGGAUCUUGAGUGUGAGAGAGGAAGGUAGAAUUCCUGGUGUAGUAGUGAAAUACGUAGAUAUCAGGAGGAAUACCAGUGGCGAAGGCGGCCUUCUGGCUCAUUACUGACGCUCAUGCACGAAAGCGUGGGGAGCAAACAGG
rnacentral:rRNA from 1 species